CUCUUACACACACUCAGAGGAACCUGACAGAACAGAAUCCGUCUUCUUCCUUACAAGAUCUCCUCCUCCAGUUCCCUCCUUCAUCCUGUACGGCUGCUUCCAGCUCCCGGGAGAGAAUCACUGAGCAGCUCAAAUAGAGCUGAGUAAGUAAUAUUAUUCCUGCUUCCAGAUGAAGAAACUGCUCAGAGAGUUUAAGUAAGUCACCCAAGAUCACACAGCUAGAAAGUGAUGGGGAAAAAUCUGAGCUGGUAUCCACUAUGUUGUGCUGCUUCUCACUAACAUAUUAUAGUGCAUAUGGCAUUACAAAUACAUACCACAUUCACAGAGAAACUCAAUUUGAGGCAUUUUUUGAAAAGAGCAAUUAGACUCAGUCAGAGUUAGCUAUAAUCUUUCCUUUCUAUUCAAGCGAACUGUGUACUUUGGACUCAAGAACAUCUCUGAUCCUAUUUCCUCAUCUGGAAAAUGGGGUUUGCUAUGAGACUUAAAGGAAAUUAUUCUUAUGCUUUUUUAGCUGUUCAGUGUACUCAAGAGACGGCUCCCACCCAUUCCAAGCAAGGCGGCAAACACAUGCAUUCUCCACACUCUGAUAACACUGCUUUGGCACAUUUUGGGGAACAGUGCCUUGAAUCUUACUGAAGUUCUCCUUGUUCCAUUUUUUCUCCAGUUUCUCUGUUUUAUCACCUUUAAAGGUCAACUUCGCUAUGCUGGGCAUUAUUAAGAAGCUGUGUUUGAUGUUGUGGGUGCAAGUAUAUGCGAUGAGGAAAUGUUUGAACCUAGGCACUGUUUUUGCAAAAUACUGCUUUCUGGUUUAUGCAAGAGACAAAAAAAAAAAAAUUUGUAAAAGUCCCAUUAAGAAGACUCACAGGCUCCUCAGACAUCAAAUAACUCUCACCAACAUUUUAAUGAUUUAAGUGUAAAUGAAUCAGAAACACAUGGACUGCAUUUCUCUUGGAAUAUACAAGCAUUUUAAAACCAAGAGAGGAAGAACUUGGCACAAAGAACCCUGUGCCAUGCAGAGGGCCCUGCCCACUAAAGACAUUCCCUCCAUUAGGGCUGCAGAUGAGCUGGCCCUCUCCUAAUUUAGGGCAUAUCCAGGGAAAUGCAGUCAUUUGUUCUGGGCAGAGAGGGGAGAGUUUGGGAGGGAAAGCCAUCAGCUUCUCCUUGUAAAGUGUCACAGAGCCACUGAGCCUCCCAGAAUAAUUUCCUGACUAUGUUUUUUUUUUUUUUAAGGCUGCCAACGCUCAAUGGGAGGCAUUUGAAAUAUGUUCUGAGCCAAAGUUCUGCCAAUAUACAGCAGAGCUGAUAUGUGCUUCCUUGGGAGUUAGCCAAGGCUCAGAUGGAAUCUGCAUGAAAACUGGGUGGCUCAGGACUGAUCUGGCCUGGAUUCAGGGCAAUUUCCCAUUGUGUGGGGCUGCACUGGUGAUACCGUCCUGAUCUUUUGAUAAGAACGUCCUGGAGCGACAUGAAUAAAUCAUGAAGAGUGGGAGGAAUGGAAAAGACAGUGGCCUAGGAAUAGGCUCAAACAUGGGUAACUCAUAUGUGACCUUGGGCAAGUCACCCAUUUUCUCUGCUGCAGGAGGGGAAGGAGGGACAUCAGUUUGCUCUACUAUAAACUCAGGGGAUAGGAGUCCAUUGGGAGCACGGAGCACAUGUAAAUGUGUGUGAGGACUAUGGAAUGAAAUUGCAGUGGGGGUGGCGAGGUGAAUUGCUAAUAAUCUGUUAAAAGUCAAAGAGCCCAGAGUGGCCUUCUAAUCUUGACACUUGCUUUUAUCUGUGGUUAUAAUAUCACAUCACUCAGGAUUUAAUCACAAGUAUUCAGAAAGAUAAUUUCUAAGAAGAUUCAACUUGUUUUAAAAAAUGUUGAUGAAAAGGUUCACAUACUUACAUAUGUAAGAAACUAACAGUAUGUCAGUUAGAAUCAUAAAAGUGUAGAAUGACGGAUGUUGGCUCAACAUCCCGUUUAUAGUAAGGGAAACGGAUCAGAAACCUACUACUAACAGAGUAAAUACUACAGCAUUCCUACAACUAGAGCAGGGCUUUGUUUACAUGUUCUACCAAAGUGUUUAUUAUAUACAACUCUUCAGCACAGACUUUCUGGAAUUCCAUGAAUGCGUUGGAAAAAGUAAAAUAUUUGGGCAAAAAGUUUUUAUUGACCAAAUGUGAAAUCCAGGCUUCCUAUAGAAUAUCUAAAAACUGAUAAAUGGCCCCAGAGAUUACACCUUAGAAUUAAAUUUUGGGUUAUUCAAUACACUGACUGACAGAAUGCUGGAAACCCUGACUUCAGAAACUAUCAGAUCAUCAGACUAAUAUGGGAAAUUAAAAAAAUAACAAUGCCUGAGCUUCAUCUCAGAAGAUUCAAAUUCAAUGAAUCUUGGGAGGGGCUUUUGAAUCUAUAAUUUUAAAAGCUCCCAUGCACAAGUGUCCCGUUUUGGGUACACAUAAUGGUGUGUCAUAAUUAAUGACAUCUUAGAUUUGAUGUAAUAUUCUUAGUAUCUGCCAGAUACCUUCAUGUGCAUCACUACAUGUAAUGUUGACAUGUGUUUCCAGAUGAGGUUCAGAGAGACUAAGUAUGCCAACAAGAGGAUGAUCAACAUCUAGAGCCUUGGACUCCUGACCCUAAAUCCGGCUCUGUUACUCCUCAUCUGUAGACCCCUGAUUCUGCCUGUGAAUUUUGAGCAUUCAUGAGCCAUGCUGUCAUGUGACUGCAAGAUUUUAGGGGAGGGAAAAAUAAUUUAUAUGCAAAAAAUAAACUAGGCUCUAUUAUGGGCUUAAUUGUGCUCCUCCAAAAUUCAUAUGCUGAAGCCCUAACUCCCAGUAUCUCAGAAUUUGUUUGGAGACAGGAUCUUUAAAGAGGUGAUUAAACUGGAGGUUGUUAGGGUGGGCUCUAAUCCAGUAUGACUGGUAUCCUUAUAAGAGGAGGAGAUUAAGAUACAGACAACACAGAGGAAAGAUGGGGUGAAGAGACAGCCAUCUGUGAGCCAAGGAGAGAGGUCUCAGAAGAACAACCUUGAUCUUGAACUUCCUUAAAAUACCUGCCAACACCUUGAGCUUGAAUUUCUAGUCUCCCAAACUGUGAGAAAAUAUAUUUUUGCUGUUUAAACUACCUAGUCUCUGAUCCUUUGUUAUGGCAGCUGGGCAAACUAAUACAGACUGUCUAAUAGAAGUUCUCCCAAAGCAUAAGUAAGCCCAUACUACCAUAGUGUUAAGCUAAUUUCAAGCACCACAUACAUGGAAUUAACAAACACUGGGUCAGUUAAGGUUUUGUUUGGUAGGUGAUAAGAGAAACCUUGACUAGUGCUGAAACAGAGUUUAUUUUCCUUGUGUAGCAAGAAGUGAGGCAGAAGGUGGGCCUGGGGACAUUUUCUUUUUUUUUUUUUCUCUUCUGCCAGUCCUAGGAGGGGUGAUGUGUCCUAGGGUUAGGUACAUGAAAAAUAGACCAUCUAUUAUGGGCUGAAUUAUUUCCUCCCCCAAAUCAUAUAUUGAAGCCUUAACUCCCAGUAUCUUAAAAUAUGAACAUAUUUGAAGACAGGAGCUUUAAAUAAGUGAUUAAGUUAAAAUAGGGCUGAAUGGGCCUAAUCUAAUUAUUAAUGUAAGAAGAAGAGUUUAGGAUACAGACAACACAGACAGUAGGUAGACCAUGAGGGAAUGCAGUAAGAAGGCAGCCAUCUGCAAGCCAAGGAAAAGGCUCUCAAAAGAAACUAAAGCUGCCAACACCUUGAUCUUAGACUUCUGGCCUCUAGAACUGUGAGAAAAUGAAUGUCUUUUACUUGAGUGACCCAGUCUGUGGUAUUUCAGUAUGGCAGCCCUGGGAAGCUAAUACACCAUCUAUACUUGCCUUACCUUUGCUCACCUAAAUAUGUUUGUUACAAAUUAUAGUUGCUAUUCACUCAUUUUAGGUCUCCCCUCCCCCAGAAGUUCCUCAGAUGCUAAGACCACAUGGAUCAAGAAGAUACAACCAUCAGACAGGAUUAAUUAGGCCUUAAGAAGCAAAUGAAUAGCAGGGGUCAGACCUUGUGUAAGGUCAGGGGGUUCAGGACUAUCACCUCCCUAACUCUCUAGUGCUGUUUCAUGACCAUUACUUUUCCAAACUCCUUCUAAAUUCCCCUGCUUUUCUAUCAUUCUGGCACACUCUACUCAUCUCUACUACUGUCAUCUUCCAAUUUCUUUACCCUAUCCUCUGUUCCUUUCAUUCAUAACUUAGGCAUGUGACACUAUGCUCACCUCUCCUUCCCGAUUCCUCCUGACAUCCUGAGUAACAGUGGUCUCUCAUUGCUUGACCUAGUUUAAUGAUGAUUUCUUCCAUUUCACCAUAGCCAGCUACUCUACUUAUAGCUAUAUCUAUGUCUGAAAUCUCACUCUUGUGAUACCCCAUUCCCUGACCACUGUCCCCCAUCUUUCUAAGUCUGACUUCUUCAAUAACCCAAUAAUUCAACCUCAUCAGGAUAGCUAGCCGUCUAACACCAUUCCAAUUCUAGUCUAUCAGAUUCUCUUGGCUUUAUAUCUUUUCUGCAUUCCACAAAUAAGCACCAUCACUCCUUAGUGGAUUCUUUUUUUUUUAACCAGUUUCUCGACUCUCUUCUUACUUAAGAGGAAUGAUUCUUCAUAUUUCUGGUAAAUCAUUGAGAAUCUAAUGAAAGCCAGAUUCCUUCUGUUUUGAAUAUCCCCAACAAGACCACAUAAUUCAUUCCCUCACUCCUUCAUUUCUUUCUAAAAAUGUCACCUUAUUAGUGAGGUCCUUCCUGGACACUCUAUUACUUCUAUUCUCACCCCCAUUUGCUCUCCCCAUAUUCUGCUUCAUUUGUCUUUGUGGCACUAGCCACCAGCUAAGAUGGUAUUUAUUUUAAGUUUUUAUUGGUUUGUUGCUUGUUCUCUACCCCAUUAGAAUAACACUGUCUAUGAAUGGACAAGUAUUUUUGUAUUUUUUUUGUUUACUGCUCUAUUCCCAGUACCAAGAAUAAUGCCCUUGGCCUGCACAAAAUAGGACCUUAAUAAACAUUUGUGAAAUGAGUUUUCUUCCAAGAAACAUUUAAUAGGCACUAUUCUUCAAAUUUGGGAUAUAAUUACAGGGGCUUGAUGGCUCUCCUAAAACCAUGAAGCUCAGAAGCUCAAUUGUAACCAGUCUUCUCAAAUAUUCCUCAUACAUCCCACUAUAGUUUUAAAAAUCAUUACAUACUGAUCACUAGCAAAUCUACUACUUCUUUAGUCUAAAUGUCUUUCCAUAAUUCCUCAUGCUCAAGUCAAAUGUCUAUUUUCACCUCCCCCUCAAGGUUCCAUUAGGCAGAAGUCAUUUUCUAUAUCCAACUUGCUCAUUCUCUCAUAUGAACAAUGUUCAUGAACUACUAGCAAAUAGAAAUUCAAGCCAGAUAUUUGCAUGUCAUCACUGACUUAUUUUUUCCUUUUCUUCUCAUCUGCCAUCAAUCAAUAACUCCUAUUGUUUCCAUAUAAGUAUCUUUAAAUCCAUCAUUAUGCAUAACAUCCAUUCCCCAUUGCCCUUGCAGUAGUGGAAUGAUUCAUUAGUUUUCAUUGGAUUAUUUCAAUAACUUCUCAUUGGUUUCUUUACCUUUAGUAAGAAAGGUAUACUCUUAUAAGUAUACAAGUCUCAUUAAUUCUCUCCCUUUGAUAGACCUUUCAGAUCCUUCCUUUGCCUAGAGAAUAAAAUAAAAAUACCUUAGAAUAGCCUUUGAGCCUUAACGUCUAAUGCUGCCAUGAAACUGAAGUAGCCUGCAGUGCUGAGCCAACAUGUGGAGGACAGCUGCCUGGAGAAUGGCCUGGAUCCACAGCAGACUUUGCCUAAGCGAGAAAGAAACUGUUGUGUGAAGCCACUGAGCUCUUGGUAUUGUUUGUUACCGUAGAUAAUUUAGCCUGCUCUGACCGACACAAUACUCUUAUAUGGGUUUACUCUUUCACCUCUGUAUUUUCCCCCAGAACCAGCACGCCUACACAUCAUACUUUAAUGUCUAGAACUGGUACCAAACUAGUUUCAUAUUCCAGAUUUUAUCAUGCUCUCUCAUGUCUAUAGGCACUUACAUACUUGGUUCUAUUGGUCUUUAAUGCUAUUUUCUUCCUCAUUUGUCUAUAGAACUUCCUCUUAUUUAUCAUUUGAAAUCUUUCUUAAAUGUCAGCUUCUCUGGAAAAUUUUCCCCAAUCAUUCAGAAUGGAAGUAAACACUACCUUUGUUCCUUACACUUAAACUUUAAAUUAUACUUUAAAUUGCAUGUGUCAAAUUAUAAAGCAAUUUUUUUUGUUGAUUUGUGUCAUUCUUUCAUCACAAUAAUUUGAGGGUCUGAACAAUAUCCUUUGUACUUUCAACUCAAUAAAUGCUUAUUGAAUGUAUAGAUGUCUAAAUAAAAUUUUAGAAAGAUAUCAGGACAGGUAAACAUAUAAUUAAGUCUAUAAUUAUAAAUUAUGAUGACUGCUACACAGAAAGAGAACUAUGAGAGAGGCUAAUAGAAGGGCUUAAUUUAUGCAGAGUGGUCAGCAAAGUCAUGGUGAACUGUUAUUUAAAAUCAAUAGGAGGAGUACAAGUUUGCUAGUGAAGAGCUGGUGAUUUCUCAACGAUGGACUACCCUACUUGGACAUCACACGUAUGGAAACUCCCCAUUUUUAUAACCCAGUUCAUAGAAAUAAUAAAGAUAUAGAAAUGUGAACAGCUGCACUCAGAGGCAAGAAAAGGAAUGACCUGUGGAUGAGGAAGUGGGAAAGUCCAUAAAAGGAAGGUGGUAGAUGAGAAGCUAUGGCAGUGAGUUUCCCACAGUGGGAACCCAUCUUGACCAUGUGGGGGUUCUUCAUAGUCCCUCUGGGGCUGACAAGACUGUAUGUAAAGUCACUGGGAAAGGAGAGAGAAUCACCAACACAGAAAAAUUGCCAAACAAGAGUCAACAAAUAUUUCUCAAAGCCUAUAUAUGGAAAAGUGAUACUAAACUCAAUAAGAAAAGGGUUUCAUGGAAGGAAAUAGAGUUAAUAGAACCACAAGAACAGAAUUUUAAAAUAACUGUCUCCAGAAAGUUAAAGUAGGGGAUAUCAUCUAUGAGACAAGGAGAAAGAUUUGAAAUAUAAACAGGUUGAAAUGCAAAAAAGAAGCACUGGACAAUUAAUGAAAUUAAAGUAACAAUUUGCAUUUAUUAAAUGUUUAUUGAAAUUAAAAAAUAAGAUGCAAUUGUAAGUAUAAAUAGCUGAAUGGCUGCAAAUGAAAAAUUAAUUAAUGAUUUGAAAAAUCAAGCUGAAGAAUUCUCUCAAAUAAAGAGAUCAGAAGUAUAGAAAAAAAAUAAAGGGAUAUAGAUUCUGAAGUUCUUACAUAUGUCUACUAGGAUUUUCUUUAAAAAUGAAAUAAAGAGGGGGAAUGUGAAACAAUCUUUGAUGAUAUAUUGGCCUUAAUUUUCCCAGAAUUGAGAAAAGACAAGAAUUCUCAGACUGAAAAGAUCUACCAAGGCCCAGAAAAGCCUGAACCUGACCAUAGAUUGAGAGUGAGAAAUUGAGGGAGAGGAAGACAACAAAGACAACUCCCAGAAUUCUGACUCAAGAUUGUGUUGUUGCCACUUACUGAGAUGGGGGAAGAGAGGUAGAGGGACUGUGAAGUAUGACUCUUCUGAAGACAUGCCAACAGACCCUGAUAGUUAACAUGAUACUCAAUGCUGCGCUCAUCAGGACAGUGAGGGUAUUUGGGUAAGCUGUGGUAACUCUCCGGGCCUGAGUGGUUUUGUUUUUCCCCACAAAAUGGGAGAAAUGACAGCACUUUUUUUACAUCUUGUUCAAGGAAACAGUUGUUCUUAAAGUCUUUUAAAUGAGUGAUACCUUUGGGAUUCUAAGGAAAGUUGACCUUCUCUGGAGAAAAGUAUAAAGUUUUCCUGUAUCUAGAUAUUUAUAAGACUGGUGAUUAAUCCUUGGUGAAGUGAAAGUGAAAUUCGCUUAGUGGUGUCCGACUCUUACGGAAUUCUCCAGGCCAGAAUACUGGAGUGGGUAGCCUAUCCUUUCUCCAGCGGAUCUUCCCGACCCAGGAAUCAAACCUGGAUCUCUUGCACUGCAGGCGGAUUCUUUACCAACUGAGCUAUGAGGGAAGCCAAUCUUUGGUAAUGUUUAUAAAUCACCUGCAAAGCUCCUGGCCCUUUGUGGAGAUUCAACCAAUAGUAAUUGUUAUUAAUAUAAUUAGAAAGUAAGAGUAAGGACCAUAAUAGGUAUAGAAAGAAAGUGGCCUUCAGGAUGGGCCUGAAAAGAUGAGUAGGCUUUCAACAGGCCGAAAGAAAAACAAGAGCUACAGUAAUGGCAAAAAUUGAAGUAAGACUCAGUGAUGAAAGGAGUUUGCAGGAUGAGUAAUACUACUGAGACUUAGCUCCGUUCUAGGUGUGAUAUGCAUUAUUUACUUCAACCUGCACAAUGAGAUAUUGUUAGAGAAUAGGGAACAGAGAAAAGGAAAUGUUCUUACUCAGAAUUACCCACUCCACUUUGCUCCUGCUUCCUUAGCAAAUAAUUGAUUAUUUUUCUGUCACUACAGGUUCAUUUGCACUUUCUAGAGAUUUAAGCCAAUGGAAUCACAUAGCAUAUAUUCAUUUUUGUCUGGCUUCUCUCACUUAGCAUAAUUAUUUUGAGAUUCCCUCAUGUUGUUACACAUGUAAUUAGCUCAUAUGUCAUGAUUCGCUUAUUCAUCUGUUCAUGGACACCUGGAUUAUUACCAGGUUUCAGCUAUUACAAAUAAAGCUUCUAUGAACAUUCAUGUAUGUGUCUUUAUUUGGAAAGAUGCUUCUGUUUUUAUUUGGUCCAUCUCUAGGAAUAGGAUGGCUAGAUCAGAUUGUCGAUGUAUGUCUAAUGUUUUAAUACACUACCAAACACUUCUCCAAAGUGGUUGUACAAUUUUACAUUACCAUCAAUAGUGAAUGAGCAUUCCAGUUGUGCCAUACUUGUGCCCAAACUUGGUAAGUUCGAUUUUUGAAAAACUUUAACCAUUAUCAUAUAUAUGUAGAGGUAUCUCACUGGAUUUUAAUUUGCAUUCCCCUAAUGAUGAAUGAUUUUGAGCAUUUUUAAGUGUUUUCAUUCAUGUAUCAUUUUUGGUAAAUUGUUC